rnacentral:lncRNA from 1 species
ACGGAUCUGGCGCUUUGGAUACUAAAUAGGCAACUAAUUCAAUUGGUGCUUUCUCCGAGGGUCUGCUUGCAAACCGGUGCCAGACUCACUGGUCCUUUGUGUACUGCCCGCCCUGCAUGUGUCUGGGCUCCCCUGGCCAGUCCGUUUUUUUGUCUCUGAUGGUUAAUAAGCUUUGAGCCUAGUAGUCAAAUGUGGUGGGAACGGGGACAAGACGAGGGUCCUUAGUGAAGGUGUUUGUUGUUAAAUAGAACAAUUCAGCUGUCUCUUUAGAAAACUUGACAAAAGGAAAUGCUCCCUGCUGAAAAUUUUCUUAGCCUGUUGCACAAAAGAUGAAGUUUGUUUAAGAAAUUGCUGCUAAAGAAAGCGUCAACCCAUUAAGGAGGAGGCAUUAACUUUCGUGAGAGAUCACAAUUGUUACCACAUCACUAUACCAGGACUGCUCAACCUAGAACCUCAUUUACACAUGAAAAGAGAUAACAAAGAAUUGGCAGGCAUUUGAGGAAAACCACCAGCAAGAGAGAAACUAAAGUCAACGCGGUCAAGACAGCAAAGACUUGAACUCCACAUCAAAUGAAAUAGUGCUGUUAGAGGAGACAACUGGUAACUCUGAAGUCAUUUUCAUAAUGUUUCCGAGAGAGAUUGAAGAGGAUAACACACCUAUAUUUUAAAUUGAGAUAGGCUCACUAUUGCAAGAUUAUAAACUUAAUUCUGAGAAUGGUAGACAGAAGAUAAUAAAAUACAAAACUACUUCUUUAAAAAAAAAAAAAUGCAGGGACCAAGACUGCAAGGAACAGACUAUUACUAGAUUACAUAAAUUCUUACAGAGUACCAAAACAAUGGAAACCUCCCACACUCAUUCAAUGAGACGCUAUUCUCCAAUAUCACAACUGAAAAAGAGUAACGUACAAAAAGACAAUUUCUAGACCUAUAGUGUUUAUUAAUGUUUAUAAACAAAAUGCUAGCAAAUUACUAAAAGCAGUAUACAGAAGAAUAAUACAUUAUGAAGUAGGUUUUAUUCCAGAAGUUCAAGGUUGCUUCAGCUUCCAGAAAACCAUUAGUGUUAUAUUUAUAAAUUGAAGGAUAAAAACCAUAUCAUCAUCGCAAC